UGGGGAAUAUUGGACAAUGGGCGCAAGCCUGAUCCAGCCAUGCCGCGUGAGUGACGAAGGCCUUAGGGUUGUAAAGCUCUUUUGGCGGGGAAGAUAAUGACGGUACCCGCAGAAUAAGCUCCGGCUAACUUCGUGCCAGCAGCCGCGGUAAUACGAAGGGAGCUAGCGUUGUUCGGAAUCACUGGGCGUAAAGCGCACGUAGGUGGGCAGUUAAGUCAGGGGUGAAAGCCCGAGGCUCAACCUCGGAAUUGCCUCUGAUACUGGCUGUCUAGAGUUCGAGAGAGGUGAGUGGAAUUCCUAGUGUAGAGGUGAAAUUCGUAGAUAUUAGGAAGAACACCGGUGGCGAAGGCGGCUCACUGGCUCGAUACUGACACUGAGGUGUGAAAGCGUGGGGAGCAAACAGGAUUAGAUACCCCUGUAGUCCCUGAGCGGGCUGGCAAGGCGCAU
rnacentral:rRNA from 1 species